AUAUUCUGAAAAUUUACUAUUUAAUACAAUUUAAAUUGAUAUAUUCUUUAUUUUAAAUUAAAUUUUUAUCUUUUAGUUUCUUAAGUAUUAAAAUUUUGAAAGAAUAUAAAAGAUGAAAUAGAAUAUAUUUUUCAAAGAAAAUAGAAUCUGCAUGACUUUUUAUUUUAAUUAUUACCCUUUUAGUGAGAUGGAUCUAUAGAUUUUAAUAUUAUAAUUAAUAUAAAAUAAUCAUAAAUAACGUAAGCUUUUAAUCAAAAUUUAAUCAUUGAUGCAAAACAUACAUAGAGAUAAUAGAACUAAUUAAUAUCAUUUAAGGAUUUUAAAUAGUAAAGUUUUGAAAAUAUCCAAAAGAAUAAAAUGAAGUUUGUAUUUUCUCAAUUUUAUAUCAAGAAAAACUUUACUAUUCAAAUGUUAUAAAGCGGUAGAAUUAAUUCAAUUUGAUCAAUAUAAGUAAAAUGAAUCAUCAUUUUAAAUUAUGUUUGAAUGUUUUCUUUGUAGGUAACAAGUUUCAUGUUUACUUAACAAUAUUAUAAUUUUAACUUUUAGAGUGAGUUCUAUACUUUAACCUCUCAUGAUAACAUCUUUUUCUCUCUGUCCAUUUCUAACCAUAAAAAUGAAAAAGAAAAAUUUCAUAUGAUGGACCGUAAAGCGAAACUCUACACUUCUCUCGUCUCUACUAUUCUCCCCCCUUCUCCAUGCUCUCUCUUUUUAACCUCUCUUUUGCAAUUUUCUCUUGGCAUCAAAUUGAGAGAUGCAUAGCGUCUCCUCUCUGCCUCCUCAUUCCCUCUUCUCCCUCUGCUCUCUCUCCCUCUCUCAAA
rnacentral:lncRNA from 1 species